UACGUAGGGUGCGAGCGUUGUCCGGAAUUAUUGGGCGUAAAGAGCUUGUAGGCGGUCUGUCGCGUCUGCUGUGAAAAUCCGGGGCUCAACCCCGGACUUGCAGUGGGUACGGGCAGACUAGAGUGUGGUAGGGGAGACUGGAAUUCCUGGUGUAGCGGUGAAAUGCGCAGAUAUCAGGAGGAACACCGAUGGCGAAGGCAGGUCUCUGGGCCACUACUGACGCUGAGAAGCGAAAGCGUGGGUAGCAAACAGG
rnacentral:rRNA from 1 species